ACUCAAAUGAAUUGACGGGGGCCCGCACAAGCAGCGGAGCGUGUGGUUUAAUUCGAUGCAACGCGCAGAACCUUACCUGGGCUUGACAUGGCAGUGCAAGCCGUGGAAACACGGCCCUCUUCGGACGCUGUCACAGAUGUUGCAUGGCUGUCGUCAGCUCGUGUCGUGAGAUGUUGGGUUAAGUCCCGCAACGAGCGCAACCCUCGUGGCUAGUUGAACCGCUCUAGCCAGACUGCCUACUAAAUAGGAGGAAGGUGGGGAUGACGUCAAGUCCGCAUGGCUCUUACGUCCAGGGCUACACACACGCUACAAUGGCCGGUACAGAGCGCUGCGAACUCGCGAGAGUAAGCCAAUCGCCAAAACCGGUCUCAGUUCGGAUUGCAGGCUGCAACCCGCCUGCAUGAAGUCGGAGUUGCUAGUAACCGCAUGUCAGCACAGUGCGGUGAAUAUGUUCCCGGGCCUUGUACACACCGCCCGU
rnacentral:rRNA from 1 species